rnacentral:rRNA from 1 species
ACUCCGUACGGGAGGCAGCAGGUAGGGAAUCUUCCACAAUGGGCGCAAGCCUGAUGGAGCAACACCGCGUGAGUGAAGAAGGGUUUCGGCUCGUAAAGCUCUGUUGUUAAAGAAGAACACGUAUGAGAGUAACUGUUCAUACGUUGACGGUAUUUAACCAGAAAGUCACGGCUAACUACGUGCCAGCAGCCGCGGUAAUACGUAGGUGGCAAGCGUUAUCCGGAUUUAUUGGGCGUAAAGAGAGUGCAGGCGGUUUUCUAAGUCUGAUGUGAAAGCCUUCGGCUUAACCGGAGAAGUGCAUCGGAAACUGGAUAACUUGAGUGCAGAAGAGGGUAGUGGAACUCCAUGUGUAGCGUGGAAUGCGUAGAUAUAUGGAAGAACACCAGUGGCGAAGGCGGCUACUGGUCUGCAACUGACGCUGAGACUCGAAAGCAU